GGACAUCACAUACUCCAUCGCUGAAGUCAAUGGGAGUUUGCUGGAUCAGUCCCAGGUCUGAGGAACAUUUGGCCAGGAGCUCGUUGUUUAACUCCAGGUUACAUCAGCAGCAAUUUCCUUCAAGUUGUUCAGUUCUUGGCAGUUCAUGAUCGGCUGGAUUAAAAGCCUUUGGUUUCACCUCAAACCCUCAACAAUGCCAGCUCGGUCUGUAGAGUCGACAGAGGGAGGAAAUCAGAGCAUCACAGUGCUGAGUGCUGCUUCCAUUACAGCAUUUCUCUGGACCAGCGACACCCUAGCCAUGCAGAGCGAUGAGUUAGGCCAGAAGAUCAGG